rnacentral:rRNA from 1 species
AGUGAAUGCUGCCGUUAGGCCUAACCUUGGCAAUUCGACCGCCACCACAUUAAGGGUUUGCUCUUCCGUUUGGCGUGUGGCGGUCGGGUGGGGAAUACUUCGGAAUCUCCUUUUCCGUGGGGUAUACCGUAGGGCAACUUACCUCAAUACGGCUUACUACAUACGGGUGAAACAGGGGGACUUUCGUACCUUGCCCGAUUCAAUGAGCCGAUGUCGGAUUAGCUAGUUGGCGGGGUAAAGGCCCACCAAGGCGACGAUCCGUAGCUGGUCUGAGAGGAUGAUCAGCCACACUGGAACUGAGACACGGUCCAGACUCCUACGGGAGGCAGCAGUGGGGAAUAUUGGACAAUGGGCGCAAGCCUGAUCAAGCCAUACCGCGUGGGUGAAGAAGGCCUUCGGGUUGUAAAGCCCUUUUGUUGGGAAAGAAAAGCAGCAGGUUAAGAACCCGCUGUUCUGACGGUACCCAAAGAAUAAGCACCGGCUAACUUCGUG